rnacentral:misc_RNA from 1 species
GAUGAAGAACGUAGCGAAAUGCGAUAAGUAGUGUGAAUUGCAGAAUUCAGUGAAUCAUCGAAUCUUUGAACGCACAUUGCGCCCGCUAGUAUUCUGGCGGGCAUGCCUGUCCGAGCGUCAUUUCAACCCUCAAGCCCCCGGGCUUGGUGUUGGGGAUCGGCGAGCCUCCGCGCCCGCCGUCCCCUAAAUCUAGUGGCGGUCUCGCUGUAGCUUCCUCUGCGUAGUAGCACACCUCGCACUGGGAAACAGCGCGGCCACGCCGUUAAACCCCCAACUUCUGAACGUUUGACCUCGGAUCAGGUAGGAAUACCCGCUGAACUUAAGCAUAUCAAUAACGGAGGA